rnacentral:rRNA from 1 species
GAUGAACGCUGGCGGCGUGCCUAAUACAUGCAAGUCGAGCGAACAGACGAGGAGCUUGCUCCCCUGACGUUAGCGGCUGACGGGUGAGUAACACGUGGAUAACCUACCUAUAAUACUGGGAUAACUUCGGGAAACCGGAGCUAAUACCGGAUAAUAUAUUGAACCGCAUGGUUCAAUAGUGAAAGACGGUUUUGCUGUCACUUAUAGAUGGAUCCGCGCCGCAUUAGCUAGUUGGUAAGGUAACGGCUUACCAAGGCGACGAUGCGUAGCCGACCUGAGAGGGUGAUCGGCCACACUGGAACUGAGACACGGUCCAGACUCCUACGGGAGGCAGCAGUAGGGAAUCUUCCGCAAUGGGCGAAAGCCUGACGGAGCAACGCCGCGUGAGUGAUGAAGGUCUUCGGAUCGUAAAACUCUGUUAUUAGGGAAGAAAAAAUGUGUAAGUAACUAUGCACGUCUUGACGGUACCUAAUGAGAAAGCCACGGCUAACUACGUG